rnacentral:lncRNA from 1 species
GAAUAAAUACUACUCAGGGAUUGACAUGGUAGAGGGAAGUGAAGCAAUGUUUAAAUAUGAUAAAAUUAACCAUUUUGUUUUCAGAGCACAGGAAGCACGAGAAAGCUGCUACCUGGAGGAGUGGGGUGAACCUGAUGAUCUACUAUCUAAGUGUGGAGAAAUAAUUUUGUCAUUGCAAUGAAUGUCUCAUUAUAAUGAAUUUCACUAAUCUCUGUAUAUCUGAGUUAAUUUUUAGAGAAAAAAAUAUACAUAGACAAACAAGCGCAUAUUUCUUCCAGAUUUCAAAAUGCCUUCUUAAACUUUCUGGGAUUAAGAUGGGUUUUGAUUUAUAAAAUCUUUCUGAUUGCAUUUUGAGUGCUGUGUUAAUUCUGAGGAUAUGAUAAAUCCUUUAUUCUAGACUAAAAAAAAUUUCUGUAUUUUGACAUGAGAUUUUUGUCAUUGGAAUACAUAAUUUGUCUUCAUUAAAUAUAAAGCAAAUGCACAGACUGUGAAAAUUAACCAUCUUAAAAACUGCAUAUAAAACUGUAUGUUGUC